rnacentral:rRNA from 1 species
GAUGAACGCUAGCUACAGGCUUAACACAUGCAAGUCGAGGGGUAACGAGAGGAAAGCUUGCUUUCCUUGUCGACGACCGGCGCACGGGUGAGUAACGCGUAUCCAACCUGCCCCCAACUAAGGAAUAACCUUGCGAAAGUAAGACUAAUACCUUAUAAUUUCCUCAGAUGUCAUCUGACGAGGAAUAAAGAUUUAUCGGUUGUGGAUGGGGAUGCGUCUGAUUAGCUUGUUGGCGGGGUAACGGCCCACCAAGGCAACGAUCAGUAGGGGUUCUGAGAGGAAGUUCCCCCCCAUUGGAACUGAGACACGGUCCAAACUCCUACGGGAGGCAGCAGUGAGGAAUAUUGGUCAAUGGGCGAAAGCCUGAACCAGCCAAGUAGCGUGCAGGAUGACGGCCCUAUGGGUUGUAAACUGCUUUUAUACAGGAAUAAAGUUAGCCACGUGUGGUUAAUUGUAGGUACUGUAUGAAUAAGGACCGGCUAAUUCCGUGCCAGCCGCCGCAGUAA